GGAAGUGUGAGUAAGAUACCUGGACCCGACUUCCUGGCACGUUGUUUCCGGGUGGAUUCGGCACGGAGUACGAGACGAUCUAUACACAAGUUUCAGAGCUUUUUCUCGAGAAGUCAGUUCAGAGAAGGAACAAGAAGCCUACAAAUGUUCUAGUUUUUCAUGAUUCCCUUCAGCUCACUGCGGAUCUGAACACAGUGAAUGAACACCUCCAUCUGUCUGAGAUGAACACAGUGAUUACUAACACUGACAGAGAGCGUCAGUCGUAUCCUGAUCAUCCAGACAGAUUUGAUGGUGUGUUGAAUCCUCAGGUGUUGUGUAGAGAGAGUGUGAGUGAUCAACGCUGUUACUGGAAGAUUGAGUGAAGUGGAUGUAUUGUGCCUAUAUCAGUGUCAUAUAAGAGCAUCAGCAGGAAGGGAGAGGGUGAUGAGUGUCGGUUUGGAUAUAAUGGUCAGUCCUGGAGUUUGACCUGCGCUCCCUACAGUUACUCAUUCAGACACAAUAACAUAAAGACUGAUCUCCCUGUAAAGCCCAUCAUCAGCAGGAGAACAGGAGUGAAUGAGGAGAAUUACUAUAGAGUAGGAGUGUAUGUGGAUCACAGUGCAGGAACUCUGCAUGUCCUUCUACAGCGUCUCUGGAGACAUAAUGAUCCUCAUCCACACAGUCCAGACCACAUUCACUCAACCGCUCUAUCCUGGGUUUAGGGUUUAUGGAUCAACAGUGAAACUGUGUUGAUGAAUCCGAAUAGACUGUAGAGAUUCUACCCAUAAUGCUUUGAGCUCAUGAUAAAUCAGUGACUGUGAGAUGUUACAGUGUCUCUUAUUUUCUCUUCAUUAUAUUGAUUACUACAGUUGAACAUCUGUCAGUGAAAUAAUGUCAGAAUAAAUGACAAAUCCUCAUAUGGAUCAGUGUGUGUGUGUGUGUGUGUGUGUGUGUGUGCUUUUCUCAAGCUCUGUUUGUGGUGAUGGAAAUCAGUUUUUAUUGUAGUGUCACAUCAAUCAUUUAUAAUGUAUGUAGAAUUGAGAUUAGUUGAACAUAUUUUAAUCCAGGUGUAUUUUAGGGGUUCAAGCGCUGAAGCUGCUGCAUCAUUAUUGUGUUUGUACUGUUUAUCAAUUAUUGUUUUUCUGCUCUAAACAUGUCUGGGUGUCAGAGACUGUACGUCAUAGAGGAAAUAAUAAAAACUUCUUCUAGA